ACUUCUUCAGGGCCAGCCAGGCCCCCUGUCGCCCCCCAGGCGCCCUGAAACCCAACCCCCAUAAGAAGAAGCCCAAAUACGACCUGCCCUUGCCCAGUAUACAUACAAGAUCACAGCCAUGUCAGGUGGGCGUCAGGCUUGUAAGAGACAUUAAUUAUCUGUGAGAUUCAGUGAACAAGGCUGAAAGGACUGGGUAUUGGCUCCUACUGGUUACUCUGCCUUCUACUGUGAUGGAGAAUGCCUCUACCCUCUGUUCCUGCAUGAACUCCACCACCCACACUAUGAUCCAACUAGUGGUUUGUUGAACAUUAAUAGAAAUGAAACUCCAGCACACUGGUAGCACUAAAGACGGGUGAGUAUAACUUUUCCAGGUGAGUUGAACCUGCCUGUGGGUGCGGUGGGGAUAUUCCUGGGAGGUCUACUGAUGAAGAGGUACGGUGGCCCCCUUGAACUUUGCGACCUUUUGCCACAUU